rnacentral:rRNA from 1 species
UACGGGGGGGUGCGAGCGUUGUCCGGAAUCACUGGGCGUAAAGGGCGCGUAGGUGGUUUGAUAAGGGUGUGGUGAAAGCCCGGGGCUCAACCCCGGGUCUGCCGUGCCGACUGUCAAACUCGAGGGCUGUAGAGGCAGACGGAAUUCCGGGGUGUAGCGGUGGAAUGCGUAGAGAUCCGGAGGAAGACCGGUGGCGAAGGCGGUCUGCUGGGCAGUUUCUGACACUGAUGC